UCUCGUUGCAAUUUAUUACAUUCUUCAUCUCUUGCAGUGCACAUAUUUAUUUCAGAUUGAUGUUGGUGAAAAUUGUGGGGAUUCAUUUGGAAUGUUGUUGACAAUUGUGGGGAUUCUUUAUUAGAAUUUGGAGUGUAAAACCAGUAUGACUUGUUCUUGUGGCUUGAUCUUGAUUAAAUUUAGGGUUACAUUCAUUUCCUACUAUAUCAGAUGUUUUCCAGUUCAAAACAUAAUUAAAAUAAUAAUUAUCCGAGGAUGGUAAUUCAUGCUGUCUGCCACAACAUUUGGGAUUAUUUCUUAAGUAAAUGAGAUUGGUCAUUGGUGAAUCAUUGUAAUCCCCGUGCCUAGUCUUAAUUAAACCUGAAUUAUGAUUAAAUCAUGGUAAUUCAAUCAUACAAUGCAAGAGCAUCCAUAAUGGGUUAUGUAAAAUGGUACACAUACCAUUUAGGGGUCGGCAAACUCGAAUGGCCACACCGAGUAUUAAACUCGGCAUUGAGCUGCAACAGCAGCUUCGGCAUAGUUCCAAACACCCAGUGGUGUACGAGUCUCUUUUGAAUCAUGGCGAAAUUUAAAACACCUCCUAUGCAUCUGGCGAAGUUCAAAACAUCGCCUAUAAGGGUGUGUGUUCGAACCCCAUUUGAUAAGGCCUCAGUUCAAGACAACGCGCUGUAAACUUUGCGCAUGGUUUUAAACUCCUCUUACCACAGACAGUGUUAUAAACUCCACCCAAAAAUAGAAGAGCAAUCUCCCCGUGGUGAGCGCCCAAAAAUUGCUAUUUGCGAAAGUGUGGAGCAGUGGAAUUUUAUGACUGCUGGUCGUCUUGUUUAAUCCAAGAGUACUCCGGGCAGAGAUCUCUAAAUCACCAGGUGUUGAGCUAUUAAUACCUCAUCUAGAAUAGCUUGUAACUGUGUCUUUUUCUGAACAAUUGGUCAGGAGCUGCCUAUAGGUGUAAAUAUGUGUGUUUGAUUAUGGGCAGGAUAGUGGUACCAUCAUUUUAAAUUUCUGUUUUAUGAUUCAUUUGUUCAGGAAAAUUCCAUCUUUGGAUUUUAUAAUAUUCAGAUGUUGAUAUAUUUUAGUCAUCUCAACUGAUCUCAUCAUAUUCUUUGCAUCUACUUUUGUGUACUGAGUCGCGGGUCAUUCAACCUUCUGCUUUCUUGAUUUUAUAUAAAAAGGAAAGGGACCUGAUAAUGUUAAUAUUAAAUUUCUUGUGCUGAUAAACAUGACAUCGUUCUUAUCUGACGCACGAAUCACUCUCAAGAUCCAUGGCGCUUCACUUGUGCAGGAGACAUAUACUUGUGAGCAGGUUCCUUUGUACAAAACAAACCUAAGCAACAUGAUGGUGUCAUAAUUUCUAAGUGGGAUUGGAAAUGCAGGUAGUUUAAUUGGUCUGCCGGAUGAUUGUGCUUAUCGGUUGACUGUAUAUAUUGCUCGAGCUUUUACUGAAGGUGUUUAUGAGUAUUCCUUGAAGAAUUUUACUGAAACAGGUGUUUUAGUCUAAAGCAUAACUAGUUAUGCUCCUAGAAGGGGAGUUCAAUUUGUUUCUCUGUUUCAUUUUCAACCGCAACUAUGGAAUUGUGUAAUUGAGAAGUGAAACUCCAGGUGUUGAAAAAAUUUAUUCUGAUGUUGCUUAUUAUAAAACCUUCCCAGAUGGCAGAUAUUAUUGAAUGCAUUUGAUUUGUAA